UACCAGCACCCCGAGUGGUCGGGACGUUUAUUGGGCCUAAAGCAUCCGUAGCCGGUUCUACAAGUCUUCCGUUAAAUCCACCUGCUUAACAGAUGGGCUGCGGAAGAUACUAUAGAGCUAGGAGGCGGGAGAGGCAAGCGGUACUCGAUGGGUAGGGGUAAAAUCCGUUGAUCCAUUGAAGACCACCAGUGGCGAAGGCGGCUUGCCAGAACGCGC
rnacentral:rRNA from 1 species